rnacentral:misc_RNA from 1 species
AAGUCGUAACAAGGUUUCCGUAGGUGAACCUGCGGAAGGAUCAUUAACAAGAAUUUGGGUGCGGCUGUGGGCGCAAGCCUGCGGCUGUCAUUCCAUAACACAUAUCUACCUUGUGAACUGUGAACCGAGUGCCUGGGCUGUGUUAUGCCGGUUUGGCUAGGCAGCCCGGGAACCCUUUUACAUUAACUGUCUUAAUAAAUUGCCGCAGUACGCGACACUAAAUUAAUACAACUUUUAACAAUGGAUCUCUUGGUUCCU